rnacentral:rRNA from 2 species
ACUGCUCAGUAACACGUGGAUAACCUGCCCUUGGGUCCGGCAUAACCCCGGGAAACUGGGGAUAAUUCCGGAUAACGCACAUAUGCUGGAAUGCUUUAUGCGUAAAAUGGAUUCGUCUGCCCAAGGAUGGGUCUGCGGCCUAUCAGGUAGUAGUGGGUGUAAUGUACCUACUAGCCUACAACGGGUACGGGUUGUGAGAGCAAGAGCCCGGAGAUGGAUUCUGAGACAUGAAUCCAGGCCCUACGGGGCGCAGCAGGCGCGAAAACUUUACAAUGCGGGAAACCGUGAUAAGGGGACACCGAGUGCCAGCAUCAUAUGCUGGCUGUCCAGGUGUGUAAAAUACACCUGUUAGCAAGGGCCGGGCAAGACCGGUGCCAGCCGCCGCGGUAACACCGGCGGCCCGAGUGGUGAUCGUGAUUAUUGGGUCUAAAGGGUCCGUAGCCGGUUUGGUCAGUCCUCCGGGAAAUCUGACGGCUUAACCGUUAGGCUUUCGGGGGAUACUGCCAGGCUUGGAACCGGGAGAGGUAAGAGGUACUACAGGGGUAGGAGUGAAAUCUUGUAAUCCCUGUGGGACCACCUGUGGCGAAGGCGUCUUACCAGAACGGGUUCGACGGUGAGGGACGAAAGCUGGGGGCACGAACCGGAUUAGAUACCCGGGUAGUCCCAGCCGUAAACGAUGCUCGCUAGGUGUCAGGCAUGGCGCGACCGUGUCUGGUGCCGCAGGGAAGCCGUGAAGCGAGCCACCUGGGAAGUACGGCCGCAAGGCUGAAACUUAAAGGAAUUGGCGGGGGAGCAC